GCCCCUGAAGAAGAGAAUAAAACCUCCGGCAACAUGCGAAAUGGCCAGAGCACUUUCAAGCGCCGUUUUUAAUGCCUUCUUCAAAGAUUUCAGCACUUUUCGUCGUGUUACUGCUUAAUAUGGCAAUAACCGAGAUUUCCGCAAGGUCAGGUUACUAUAUAAGACCAUUUUGGUGCAGAGGUCAAAGGUGUUCUUUUAAUGGACGUGAUGGACACCCGCGCUGCCCUAUAUUAUGCAGCUGCUUGCCAGGCCGUAAUGUCGAUGAAAAUUUUACGAGAAUAAACUAUUGCGCAUGAUACCGUGUUCAGCAUGACACUGAAUGCAGAAAGCAAUAAAAAUGAUUCUGGAUUCUUC
rnacentral:lncRNA from 1 species